UGUGUGUGUGUGUGUGUGUGUGUAUGUAAUAUAUAUGCAUAAAGAAAACGAUAUAAGAAAUUCGUGAGGCAAUAUGUUGAACACGUGUCGUACAAAUAGACACACACACAAAUUUAUAAACGCAUUCGCUUAUAUGUAUGCUUAGAGAGGAAUGCUGACACGGAUAAUGUACCCCCAAUUUUCCAGGUAUAUAGGCACGCAUUAAAAUAAAUAACACGUCAUUUGAUUACCUGUAGUUAUAACACCUUUACCUAUACAAUUGUAACGUCACUUAGGCUGAUACACUCCUAAACACACAUACAUACAUACAUACAUACAUAUACAUACAUACAUUCAUUCAUACAUACAUAUACAUAUACAUACAUACAUACAUACAUGUAUAUAUUAUGGAGUUUAAGUAACAUGUAUUACUAAAACUUUCUACAGUCACGUGAAUAUAUAUAUAUAUAUAUAUAUAUACACACACACACACACAUAUUUGUAUAUUUGCAUAAUUGUAUAUGUAACCAUGCUGGAAUAUACUUUUGAGGAUUUUGUUCACCGAACUCGGAACCACAUAUACACAUAUUCACAGAAAAUCUUAGGUAUAGGUACGUGACACAUGCACUUAUAUGUAUAGCUUGCACAAAAUGUAUGAAUAAACUUAUAUACACUCACUCACACGUGUGAAUACCUAUAAUUGUAUGUACAUAUAUAUUUAAG